UAUGGCACUAUAGAAUUCACUG
rnacentral:miRNA from 2 species